UACGUAGGGGGCAAGCGUUGUCCGGAUUUACUGGGCGUAAAGAGCGUGUAGGCGGCCACGCAGGUCCGUUGUGAAAACUGGAGGCUCAACCUCCAGCUGUCGACGGAAACCGUAUGGCUAGAGUCCGGAAGAGGAGAGUGGAAUUCCUGGUGUAGCGGUGAAAUGCGCAGAUAUCAGGAGGAACAUCCGUGGCGAAGGCGGCUCUCUGGGACGGUACUGACGCUGAGACGCGAAAGCGUGGGGAGCGAACAGG
rnacentral:rRNA from 1 species